rnacentral:rRNA from 1 species
UGGGGAAUAUUGGACAAUGGGCGCAAGCCUGAUCCAGCCAUGCCGCGUGAGUGAUGAAGGCCCUAGGGUUGUAAAGCUCUUUCACCGGUGAAGAUAAUGACGGUAACCGGAGAAGAAGCCCCGGCUAACUUCGUGCCAGCAGCCGCGGUAAUACGAAGGGGGCUAGCGUUGUUCGGUUUUACUGGGCGUAAAGCGCACGUAGGCGGACUUUUAAGUCAGGGGUGAAAUCCCGGGGCUCAACCCCGGAACUGCCUUUGAUACUGGAAGUCUUGAGUAUGGUAGAGGUGAGUGGAAUUCCGAGAGUAGAAGUGAAAUUCGUAGAUAUUCGGAGGAACACCAGUGGCGAAGGCGGCUCACUGGACCAUUACUGACGCUGAGGUGCGAAAGCGUGGGGAGCAAACAGG